AAAUAAUAAUUUAAUCGAUUUAUCGUUUUGUCGGUUUGCGUGCCUUUUGCAUCAUGCUAUUCUUAAGUUUUGGCUUAUGCCUUUAACCGAAAAGUCCAGAUCUUCGGGCAUGUUGUUAAGCACUAAAGGUGGGUCACUCGUUAAACAUGCCCGAUGUGGUGAUAAAUUAGUCGUUGGACUGUAUAGCUGUUUUAUGGGUUAUUUUUUCUUUUUACUACAGCAGUGAUGAGAUUGCUGUAGCGUCUAUAUCGUUUAUUAUGUGUGGUAUUACUUGGGUUAGGGUUACCCGUGUAUCGUUGAUUAUGUUACUAUCUCCCACAACUAAUGUAAGUGAUUAGCACUCGUUCCCAUAUUAUUAAAUUUUACUGAGUUAUUUAUGGUUUAACUAGUAAUUAUAACAUCUGUAAUUUUUCUCGAGCCGGGCCCAACUGUUUAUUAAAAACAUUUCUGCCCGAUUUAUUAUUGGCAGUAGUACCUGCCCGGUGUUUGUAUUAACGGCCGCAGUAUUAUGACUGUGCGAGGUAGCAUAAUUAAUUGCCCCAUAAUUGGGGGCUUGUUUGAAUGGUUUAAUGAGGCCCGUGCUAAAAUUACAGUUUUUUGUGAACCUAAUUCUGUGAGUACAGAAUCUACAGUGGUUAGUUAGACGGAAAGACCCCAGGAUCUUCAUUUUUGUCUGGGGCAGAUUGGGCUACUUCAGCCUAUUUGUGACCCUCUGAUUAGAGAUUUAAGUUACCCUGGGGAUAACAGAGUAAUAGUUUAUUAGAGCCCCUAUCGAUUAAACUGAUUGCUACCUCGAUGUUGACUUGGGUUAACCCAGCGGCGCAGUCGUUGCUGGGCGUGGUCUGUUCGACCAAAUCAACCCUCAUGAGUUGAGUUAAGACCGGCGUAAGCCAGGUCGGUUCUUAUCUACUGGUGUAGUUAGUCAGUACGAAAGGACCGCUAGCUGUUUUAUU
rnacentral:rRNA from 1 species